GCCUGAUUUCUCAAACUCUCACUAACCCUGUAUCUAUUCUUCGAAUCUGAUAUUAAUCUCAAAUGCUAUUGUACCUUGAUGGCUAGCUUGGCAGAGUUGAUCAUGAACUCCAAGUUUGAAUCAUCGAUCCAUCCAUCGAUCGCAUGGUGCAAAAUUUCCUCUGGCAAGAUCCGAGCCACCACCAGUUUGUUUUUGAAUAAUGAGGACAGGACGGCGCGAGUUGGAGGACGGAGACGUGCGUAUCUCAGGGAGGCUGGUGCCUGCGCGUAGUUCCCUCUCACACGGCGAGCUGGCCAGAACGAAUAUUCUGUUUCAUUUCCAUGGAAGAAUGCCGUCACCGAUAUGAUCUUCUUCUCGGGGAAAGCUGAAAAGAAAAGAUUUGUGAACAUUUCCAGGGCUGUGAGAUUUUACGAGGACUACGCAGAAGAAUUUCGUGCUGAUGGCUGGCUGGCUGGCUGGCUGACUGACUGAUCUUGUUGCUUGGUGUUUGUAUUUUUACAAAUCAAGGCUCGUGAUGCUCGAGUCAGGGAUGAAUUUAGAAAUCAAGAGUAACACAGAUGGGUUUAGUACGCAGUAGGUCAGUUUCUUAUUUUUAGAUGCCCGCGCCAUGCAGAAAUGAGAGAGAAAACACGAGGGUGAUCGAGGUUCUGUUCGAAGAAAGGGUGAUUUUUUUUUUUGUUUCGUUUUGUUUUCAAACCCUUUUGCUCCCUCAUUUUUCGUUCUCCCCAACUCCAGAAGUAAACAAAUGAGUCAAGCAAGAGUAAACAUCAUCAUACAAUUCGAUCACAACAUCUGGGAUCAUACGAGAGCAUUCUUCAGACUGCGAC
rnacentral:sRNA from 2 species